rnacentral:lncRNA from 1 species
UUAAAGGUUUCAAAACAAGAUUUCUGUGAAUUCAAUCUAGUUUAAACCCAUCUAGAUAGAUAUUUACCCUUCUUUAGAUACACUCUCACUGUAGAUUUUCUAGGCAGCAAGUCCAAAAGAAAGGCAGUAAGACCGUUGGCAAGCUACAGUCGACAUAGAAUCGGUUAGUACCCUUCUAAUAUGAUUUUAAAUUUAGAAUACGGAACUUUUUUUAAAUCAAAGCAUGUAUCAACUUCUUCAUAAUACACAAGGGGGUCUCAAGCCCUAAAACAAAAUAUCGAUUAUUUAGACUUAGUGUCGAGUUAGAUGGCUAGAAUUAGAGUUCCUAAAAUAAUAUGUUGUAGUCCCAGCUCUUGUGAUCAAUAAAAACUAC